AGUGAACGCUGGCGGUAGGCCUAACACAUGCAAGUCGAACGGCAGCACAGUAAGAGCUUGCUCUUACGGGUGGCGAGUGGCGGACGGGUGAGGAAUACAUCGGAAUCUACUUUUUCGUGGGGGAUAACGUAGGGAAACUUACGCUAAUACCGCAUACGACCUACGGGUGAAAGCAGGGGAUCUUCGGACCUUGCGCGAUUGAAUGAGCCGAUGUCGGAUUAGCUAGUUGGUGGGGUAAAGGCCCACCAAGGCGACGAUCCGUAGCUGGUCUGAGAGGAUGAUCAGCCACACUGGGACUGAGACACGGUCCAGACUCCUACGGGAGGCAGCAGUGGGGAAUAUUGGACAAUGGGCGCAAGCCUGAUCCAGCCAUACCGCGUGGGUGAAGAAGGCCUUCGGGUUGUAAAGCCCUUUUGUUGGGAAAGAAAAGCAGCAGGUUAAUACCCCGCUGUUCUGACGGUACCCAAAGAAUAAGCACCGGCUAACUUCGUG
rnacentral:rRNA from 1 species